AGAACGAACGCUGGCGGCAGGCUUAACACAUGCAAGUCGAACGCGUGUAGCAAUACACGAGUGGCGCACGGGUGAGUAACGCGUGGAUAUCUGCCUUUUGGUUCGGAAUAACCCCGGGAAACUGGGGCUAAUACCGGAUGGUUCCUACGGGAUAAAGAUUUAUCGCCAAAAGAUGAGUCCGCGUCCGAUUAGCUAGUUGGUGGGGUAAUGGCCUACCAAGGCGACGAUCGGUAGCUGGUCUGAGAGGACGAUCAGCCACACUGGGACUGAGACACGGCCCAGACUCCUACGGGAGGCAGCAGUGGGGAAUAUUGGACAAUGGGGGCAACCCUGGAUCCAGCCAUGCCGCGUGAGUGAUGAAGGCCUUCGGGUUGUAAAGCUCUUUUGGCGGGGACGAUGAUGACGGUACCCGCAGAAUAAGCCCCGGCUAACUUCGUGCCAGCAGCCGC
rnacentral:rRNA from 1 species